rnacentral:rRNA from 1 species
GAACUAGCUUGCUAGUUGCUGACGAGUGGCGGACGGGUGAGUAAUGCUUGGGAAUUUGCCUUUAGGUGGGGGACAACAGUUGGAAACGACUGCUAAUACCGCAUGAUAGCUACGGCUCAAAGGGGGCUUCGGCUCCCGCCUUUAGAGAAGCCCAAGUGGGAUUAGGUAGUUGGUGAGGUAAAGGCUCACCAAGCCGACGAUCCCUAGCUGGUCUGAGAGGAUGAUCAGCCACACUGGAACUGAGACACGGUCCAGACUCCUACGGGAGGCAGCAGUGGGGAAUAUUGCACAAUGGGCGAAAGCCUGAUGCAGCCAUGCCGCGUGUGUGAAGAAGGCCUUCGGGUUGUAAAGCACUUUCAGCGAGGAGGAAAGGUUAGUUGUUAAUACCAGCUAGCUGUGACGUUACUCGCAGAAGAAGCACCGGCUAACUCCGUGCCAGCAGCCGCGGUAAUACGGAGGGUGCGAGCGUUAAUCGGAAUUACUGGGCGUAAAGCGUACGCAGGCGGCCAUUUAAGUCAGAUGUGAAAGCCCCGGGCUCAACCUGGGAACUGCAUUUGAAACUGGAUGGCUAGAGUGCGACAGAGGGUGGUAGAAUUUCAGGUGUAGCGGUGAAAUGCGUAGAGAUCUGAAGGAAUACCAAUGGCGAAGGCAGCCACCUGGGUCGACACUGACGCUCAUGUACGAAAGCGUGGGUAGCAAACAGGAUUAGAUACCCUGGUAGUCCACGCCGUAAACGAUGUCUACUAGCAGUUUGGAGCUUAAGCUCUGUCUUGCGCAGCUAACGCAUUAAGUAGACCGCCUGGGGAGUACGGCCGCAAGGUUAAAACUCAAAUGAAUUGACGGGGG